rnacentral:rRNA from 1 species
UACGUAGGGGGCAAGCGUUGUCCGGAUUUAUUGGGCGUAAAGAGCGUGUAGGCGGUUAGGUAGGUCCGUUGUGAAAACUCGAGGCUCAACCUCAAGACGCCGAUGGAAACCAUCUGACUAGAGUCCGGAAGAGGAGAGUGGAAUUCCUGGUGUAGCGGUGAAAUGCGCAGAUAUCAGGAAGAACACCCGUGGCUAAGGCGGCUCUCUAGUACGUGACUGACGCUGAGACGCGAAAGCGUGGGGAGCGAACAGG